rnacentral:tRNA from 1 species
UCCAUGGUGGUCCAGUGGCUAAGACUCUGCGCUUCCAAUGCAAGGAGCCCGGGUUCCAUCCCUGGUCAGGGAA